GUCGGGUCAGCAAACACCGCGGGGAUCCGAUGGGAUCGGAUGGGAUCGGCCCGGGGGGGUCGGACGGGAUCAGAUCGGCUCCGGGGCCUGGAGCGCCUCGCCCGGGCCGGGCCGGGCCUGCACAGGCCCCCCCAACCCGCAGCGCUCGGAUCAGGGUCUCAUUACUGACUGUGUUAAAGGACCUCAACUGACAGAUGUCCCUGGUUUGAAAAGGAAGACUUAAAUGAGCCUGAAAAAACCUGGGUUUUGUUACUGAAAGACAUCAGUCAGGAUCUGCACUGCACAAACUGGGACACAGUGCCCAGCCUUCCGCAGUUCUUGGAAAAGGGUGCUGAGGAGGAGAGUCCAGCACACCAGGAGAUCUUCACAGCUGGAAUGAGAGACUUUCCGUGGGUACCAUUCCCACCUUUUCACACAGAACAAUGUCUGAACCCCAAGGAUUUCAGCUCCCAGAGCAACGAGUCACAUACAGGAUGGGGCCAAGCAGAUAAACUUCCCAGUUUGUCACCCACAGCUGAGGAAACCUGCAGGGGAACCAGCACAGAUCGAGGCAAACCUGCAGCCGGGGGAGGCACAAAAGGCAUUUCCGACCUGGGAGUGAGUCCCGAGCCACGUCAGCUCCCUGGACACAGGAGCUCUGCACAGCCCUUGGCACAGGGCUCUGGGAGAGCUUCCAGCCCUCGGCAGCACCACACAGGGGCUGCACAGAGCAGGGGAGGCAGGAGAGAGAAGGGUGGGAAGGAGCUCCAGCCACAGGAGGGGAAGGUUCCAGCGGGGCAGGACAGAGCUGUGCCUGGGGAGGAGCCUCCUGGGAGCAUUCCUGGGGCCGGGAGCUUCGAGGAGAAGGUUGAAAACCAGAGUGGAGGAUCUUCAGCUCUCGACAGUUGUCCCAUGUGCCUGAUGCAGUUCAGUGGAACGCUCUCCCAGCUGGACAUCGAUGGGCACCUGGCCAGGUGCUUGUCUGAAAGUGCAGAUGAUGUCAUGUGGUAAGUCCAGGAGAACAGAGAGCAAAGGAACAAGGCCAAGGAUGAACCUUUCUCAAAGGAAAAGGAAAAAUGUGUCAAGGAAGCACAUCCUCGACUCACACUUUGGGAUCACAAACCAGUAACUCAGUAGAAGGUCAAGUGUCGAGGGUCUUUUUAUUUUAAAUCCUCUCAAAUGCACGCAAAGUAGCUCUAGUUCUGAAAAUGGUGCUCUGGGGAGACCCCCAGGGAAAUCAGGCUUGGUGCUCCUGAAAAAGUGUCCUGCUGGAAAUCCCUGGAGCCCCUGCUUGGGCUGAUGCACCAGAGCUCGGAAGCUCUCAGUCCAGAAGAAAGCAGCUGCACAACAGACAACUGUUACCCUCAUCCAAAAGUUUACCUGCUUAGAAAAAAAUGCCAGUAAAUCUGUGAAAAUCAAUUUAAUUAAAAAGUCAUUUGAGCUUAGAAUUUUUCAGUAUUUUACUAAGAAAGUGUAAUUGUACCACUGAUUCUGUGGGUGUGUCCCUGUUAAACACCCCCCAAACCACAGAAAGGGGUGGGGGUUCCAUGUCUCCGAAGGAGCCCAGCUCAAUUCACACCCUUCCUGGGUAGGUUUCUAAGUCAGUAUUGGUGUUAAUCAAGUGAUUAACGUGACUGCUCUCAUUAAGCUGCAGAGAGAACUCUUCUGCCAGUCUCCUGACCUGCACAGGGAGGUUCAGGCAGUCCCAGAGCCAAGAGCUGGUUUGUGUCAGUCCCACACGGCCCCAGACCCCGAGGAGUGGGACGGGGACACCCCCAGCCUGGGGGGGCUGGAGGGGGCUCAGCUGCUGUUCUGGGAACUGCUGCCCAGGACAGGGAAAGCUCUGCAAGGCUGGGAAAGGGACCCCCCCUGCCCUGAGGGCUGGUGAGAGUCCAGGACCAACACCCUGCCCCAGUUCACUGCCCCGGGCUCAGAACCUACAGCCCAGCUGGGAUCCAGGUACAGGACACAGGUCCAGGAAAACACACAGGGAGGCUCCUUGGAUUCCAGUCCCAGGGGGGUCUCCUUCAGACGUUGGACACAGCCCAGUUUACGGAUAAAUAAUAACAGUCUGUUCACUUUUUCAUUAAAGUCUUUAAUAGAUGUGCAAGAAUAUAAAUGAUCUCAGCUGUUAUGGAUUAGUAUACCAUCUUCUGCACAAUUAAAACUGGUCAGCAAAGAUCCCAACUAAUUAAUUAUACAAAACUACAAGAACAUAUUUACUGUUUUACAAUCAUUAAAUUAGCUAGAAUUUCAUUUACUAUUUCAAAUAAGACAACUAUAUAUCAUUACCAGAUCCAUUUGUAAUAUAUUAGGAUUUUUUUUUCCAAACCACACAUUUAAUUACAUCCUUCAUUUUCUUUUAUUUAUAAAACAAGUACUUUAUAUAAAAAAUUUCCCCUUCAUCAUGAACAGAACAUUAUUCAAACACUUGCACAUGAGCAACCAAACUUGUACCCAGCAAACUAUUUGGCAACACAGCAACAUUGUAAAUGCCUGUAAAUUCUUAAAUAAAAAUCAAGUAGUCUUUACAAUGUUUGUUUAGCAAAA